rnacentral:rRNA from 1 species
CGGGGAGCAAACAGGAUUAAAUACCCGGGUAUUCCCCCCCGUAAACAAUGUCGAUUUGUAGGUGGAGCCCUUGAUGCUUGGCUUCCGGAGCUAACGCAUUAACUCUCCCGCCGGGGAAGUACAGCCGCAAGGUUAAAACUCAAAUGAAUUGACGGGGGCCCGCCCAACCGGGGAAGCAUGGGGUUUAAUUCAAUGCAACGCGAAAAACCUUACCUGGUCUUGACUUCCACAGAACUUUCCAGAGAUGGGUUGUUGCCUUCGGAAACUGUGAAACAGGGGCUGCAUGGUUGUCGUCAGCUCGGGUUGUGAAAUGUUGGGUUAAGUCCCGCAACGAGCGCAACCCUUAUCCUUUGUUGCCAGCGGU